GUGAGGAAUAUUGGUCAAUGGGCGCAAGCCUGAACCAGCCAUGCCGCGUACAGGAAGACGGUCCUAUGGAUUGUAAACUGCUUUUAUUCGGGGAUAAACCUCUUUACGUGUAGAGAGCUGAAGGUACCGAAAGAAUAAGCACCGGCUAACUCCGUGCCAGCAGCCGCGGUAAUACGGAGGUGCAAGCGUUAUCCGGAAUCAUUGGGUUUAAAGGGUCCGCAGGCGGGAUUGUAAGUCAGUGGUGAAAUCCGGCAGCUCAACUGUCGCACUGCCAUUGAUACUGCAGUCCUUGAAUUUGAUUGGAGUGGGCGGAAUAUGUCAUGUAGCGGUGAAAUGCUUAGAUAUGACAUAGAACACCGAUAGCGAAGGCAGCUCACUAAGUCUGAAUUGACGCUCAUGGACGAAAGCGCGGGUAGCAAACAGGAUUAGAUACCCGGGUAGUCC
rnacentral:rRNA from 1 species